rnacentral:SRP_RNA from 1 species
GCCGGGUGCAGUGGCGCGCGCCUGUAAUCCAAGCUGCUGGGAGGCUGAGGCUGGCGGAUCGCUUGAGUUCAGGGGUUCUGGGCUGCAGUGGACUAUGUCGAUCGGGUGUCCGUGCUAAGUUCGGUAUCGAUAUGGUGCUCCUGGGGGAGCUCGGGACCACCAGGUCGUCUAAGGAGGGGUGAACCGGCCCAGGUCGGAGACGGAGCAGGUCAAAGCCCCCGUGCCGAUCAGUAGUGGGGUCGCACCUGUGAAUAGACACUGCAGUGCAGCCUGAGCGAUACAGCGAGACUCAGACUUUU